rfam:Schistosoma haematobium scaffold251_2, whole genome shotgun sequence.
GCACUGCUGAGGAGUCCCGCGAUGGGACGAAACGGUCGUCCAGUGC